CCUACGGGAGGCUGCAGUGAGGCAUAUUGGUCAAUGGACGAGAGUCUGAACCAGCCAAGUAGCGUGAAGGAUGACUGCCCUAUGGGUUGUAAACUUCUUUUAUAUGGGAAUAAAACGUUCCACGUGUGGGAUUUUGUAUGUACCAUAUGAAUAAGGAUCGGCUAACUCCGUGCCAGCAGCCGCGGUAAUACGGAGGAUCCGAGCGUUUUCCGGAUUUAUUGGGUUUAAAGGGAGCGUAGGUGGAUUGUUAAGUCAGUUGUGAAAGUUUGCGGCUCAACCGUAAAAUUGCAGUUGAAACUGGCAGUCUUGAGUACAGUAGAGGUGGGCGGAAUUCGUGGUGUAGCGGUGAAAUGCUUAGAUAUCACGAAGAACUCCGAUUGCGAAGGCAGUUCACUGGACUGCAACUGACACUGAGGCUCGAAAGUGUGGGUAUCAAACAGGAUUAGAUACCCGAGUAGUC
rnacentral:rRNA from 1 species